AAACAGUUAUUCUGACUCAGAGUUCUGAGAUAAUUGUUAUUAAUUUUGAAUGUUACAAGCUAUAGUAUACUGGAGAGAUAUAGACGCCAGAACUGUUUUAUGAUUAUGGGACAAAUGUAACGUCUGAUUAUAUGAAAGAAAGGAACAAUCAUUUAUUAUGUGCCAACUGUAUGCCCGGUAUUAUACUAAACACUACAAAUAUCAUAUCAUUGGAUCCCACAGCUACCCUGGGAGUCGUCAUUACCUAGCCUUUUGUCUGGUGAUGACUUCACUCUCUGAGCCUCCUACUGUGUACGUCUGCUGAGCUCAAGCAAUGUAUAUAGAAUGAUACUGGAAUAUUCUGGUAAAGGUCUAACAGCCAGACUGGGGGAAAAAUGGUAUGUGCACAUUUUAAAAUUUAAUCUGUAUUAUUAACAAUUUCUUAAGCCCAAACAAUCAACAAAACUCUAAAUCAAGCUAUGAUUUGGAGUAGUUGCCCAGUUCUGAUUUGCAAUUGUUUACAUUGUAAAAUAUAAUACUGAGCAAAACCAGGUAGAGUGGUUUCCUUUACACCCCAGGAUCCUAGUUGGAGAGUAAGUCCAGUUGGGCAGAGUAAUAGUUUUCAAGUAAAGAAUCAGAAAACUUCUUUGGUUGAAAUGUCAUGCCAAGCAAGUAAUGACAGUCAAGCAUAGUGUGGAUCUACUCGGCUGAAUAAUGUAAUUAUCUGUUCAACCCAAAAUAUGUUCACCAUGAAACUUUUAUAGACAUUUCUUUAUUUUCUUAAUUUUUAAUUUUUUUUUUUACCAAUCACAUGUAAUAACAAAUUUCCACGUUAGUUUUCCUAAAUUAUAUGAUUAAACCUUUCUCCCUCUGUCCCUUUCCUUCUUCCUCCUGGAGCUGGCAAGCAAUUUAAUCUGAGUCAUACAUGUAUUAUCAUGGAAAACAUAUUUCCAUAUUUUUCAUUU
rnacentral:lncRNA from 1 species